rnacentral:lncRNA from 1 species
GCACAUCACCACCACAUCUCUCUCUCUCUCUCUCUCUCUACCAAACACGAACAUUGUGAUUUCUCUACAAUACACACGUCAUCAAACUCUAUUACUAUUACGCUCAAAUAUCACUGCACCUCGCAUAAAGUAUUUAAAAUGGUUUUAAUUCAUAGUAUUGAUGAUCAGAGAAGGGAGAAACAGAAAGGUACAAAGAAAAAAAAAUUGUUGAAGAAUCUUCUUCACCCAAGGGAGUGAAGAUGUUGGCAUCAGGCGGAAAAUCGAUGAAAAAGGCUUUGUCCCUCGUUUAUUUAUUUAUGUGCAUUUGCUUUCCAGUAAGGGUUGUAAUGUAUGAGUAUGUUGAUUAUAACUUCAAUCUGGAUUUUGUGACUUGAUUUGUGUACCGUGUGACCUAUGUCGAGUAAUAUGUGACCUGAUUUAGGUAUUGUGUGACCGGAAU